rnacentral:lncRNA from 10 species
ACUUUAGGGCAGAGAUUUUUCUGGCUCUUUUUACGUUUAGUAAUUUUGUAUUCUAGACAUUCGGCAUACCUUGAGACUCCCAAGUCCAUGAAACCCUCUGCAGGAUGCUGAGUUGUGUCUCAGCAGGCAAGUAACCCAGUUAUGUUCUGAUUGCAUGUGCCAGCCUGCCUCCUGGAGCUGUGACUCUGGUGUCAGGCUAGUCUUCCAAGUCUGUGUCGUGCUGUUCACCCAGGGGCCAGUCUACACAGGAGUUGAGCUCAAAUAGCCUUUGCUGUUUUCCCCACGUCAGUGCCAUUCAUGUGGAGCUUUAGGGGGUCUCUUAACUCCUCUGCUGUGUCCUUUGACUUAAAAGCCCAGGUUUCAGCCUCUCUGUGCUGUUCCCAUUCCUAUGACUAGGUCCAGCUUGGGGCCAAAGUGGAGCAGGGAUUUCCCUCAUGCUCUUUGGACUACAGGGGCCUGUUUUCCAAUUCCUCUCGUCAGCGUGAAGGGUUCUGUGGGAGUCGCCAGCGUGAAGGGCUCUGUGGGAGUCGCCAGUGUCUGCAGGGCUGCUGCUUGCAGGAGUUUCCCACGACCGUCUCUGCCCAGGAUGAGAGGGAAGCGGGCUUCUCUUGGAGAUUUUAAUGUUCAUCCCUAAUGUGCAGUUCGGAUAGACCGCCCCCGACUAGGCCCAGCAACGGACUAGGCUCAGCAAUGGGAGGGGAAAACCCAGGAAAAACCCAUCACACCGGUCCUUGUUCUGGCUCUAGUCUGCCUGCUGUUCUGUAUUAUAUACGACUGACUUUCCAUAGGACUGAGAUAGUUGCUCUGUUUGUUAGGUCCACAGUUAGUCAUAACCCCUAGGAGACACAGGUGGAGGAGUCCACUGGAAUCUUUGUAGCCAGUUUAGUCAUCAGAGGUCACUUGAGACCCACUCUGAAUUGUAAUUUUGUGUUGCUGUGGACAUAGCUCAGAAAGGGGGCAACAAACAGUGACAAUUUCCCAGCACCCAUCAACGCAGCCCGGGUGCACUGCAGACGCAGACCUGGCAGAAACAAAUUACAAAUGACUGCUUCACUUUGCUGGAAGAGGCAGUCUCGCAGGGCGUGAUAAACAGUUCUUUUAUGCCAGUAUGAACUGUUUUAAAUUAGGGGAUCAGUGUAAGGAAUAAAACAAACACUCCGUUAUGAACUCUCUGUCCGUGAACAUCAUUUAGCUCCCAAAGGCCUCUGUGUCAUUUUCAGCACGGUUUCUUCCCUCUGCUACCCUGGGGUGAGUACUGAUAAUGUCAUCACGAUUCCAG